GAUGAACGCUGGCGGCGUGCCUAAUACAUGCAAGUCGAGCGAACGGACGAGAAGCUUGCUUCUCUGAUGUUAGCGGCGGACGGGUGAGUAACACGUGGAUAACCUACCUAUAAGACUGGGAUAACUUCGGGAAACCGGAGCUAAUACCGGAUAAUAUUUUGAACCGCAUGGUUCAAAAGUGAAAGACGGUCUUUCUGUCACUUAUAGAUGUAUCCGCGCUGCAUUAGCUAGUUGGUAAGGUAACGGCUUACCAAGGCAACGAUGCAUAGCCGACCUGAGAGGGUGAUCGGCCAAACUGGAACUGAGACACGGUCCAGACUCCUACGGGAGGCAGCAGUAGGGAAUAUUCCGCAAUGGGCGAAAGCCUGACGGAGCAACGCCGCGUGAGUGAUGAAGGUCUUCGGAUCGUAAAACUCUGUUAUUAGGGAAGAACAAAUGUGUAAGUAACUGUGCACAUAUUGACGGUACCUAAUCAGAAAGCAACGGCUAACUACGUG
rnacentral:rRNA from 1 species